rnacentral:rRNA from 1 species
GAUGAACGCUGGCGGCGUGCCUAAUACAUGCAAGUCGAGCGAACAGACGAGGAGCUUGCUCCUCUGACGUUAGCGGCGGACGGGUGAGUAACACGUGGAUAACCUACCUAUAAGACUGGGAUAACUUCGGGAAACCGGAGCUAAUACCGGAUAAUAUCUUAAACCGCAUGGUUCAAUAGUGAAAGACGGUUUUGCUGUCACUUAUAGAUGGAUCCGCGCCGCAUUAGCUAGUUGGUAAGGUAACGGCUUACCAAGGCAACGAUGCGUAGCCGACCUGAGAGGGUGAUCGGCCACACUGGAACUGAGACACGGUCCAGACUCCUACGGGAGGCAGCAGUAGGGAAUCUUCCGCAAUGGGCGAAAGCUUGACGGAGCAACGCCGCGUGAGUGAUGAAGGUCUUCGGAUCGUAAAACUCUGUUAUUAGGGAAGAACAAAUGUGUAAGUAACUAUGCACGUCUUGACGGUACCUAAUCAGAAAGCCACGGCUAACUACGUG